AAGGCUUCACAGCCUUUUGGCUAGAAAACAGUGUAGUAUCUGUUCUUAUCAGUUUAACAUUUGAUAUGUCCCCUAUCUGGGGAUCAUAUAUUAAACUGAUUUUUGAAACAAGGAUAUAGGUGAAUUGGUGGCUUUGAGGCUAAGGGUCUCUAGUAUCUGGAAGGUUGUUGGUUCAAAUCUUGUUACUGCCAGAAGGGAU